AGAGUUUGAUCCUGGCUCAGAUUGAACGCUGGCGGAAUGCUUUACACAUGCAAGUCGAGCGGCAGCGCGGGGCAACCUGGCGGCGAGCGGCGAACGGGUGAGUAACACAUCGGAACAUACCCAGUCGUGGGGGAUAACACUUCGAAAGAAGUGCUAAUACCGCAUACGUCCUGAGGGAGAAAGCGGGGGAUCUUCGGACCUCGCGCGAUUGGAGUGGCCGAUGUCAGAUUAGCUAGUUGGUGGGGUAAAGGCCUACCAAGGCGACGAUCUGUAGCUGGUCUGAGAGGACGACCAGCCACACUGGGACUGAGACACGGCCCAGACUCCUACGGGAGGCAGCAGUGGGGAAUUUUGGACAAUGGGGGCAACCCUGAUCCAGCCAUUCCGCGUGAGUGAAGAAGGCCUUCGGGUUGUAAAGCUCUUUCGGCAGGAACGAAACGGCGCGCUCUAACAUAGCGCGUUAAUGACGGUACCUGAAGAAGAAGCACCGGCUAACUACGUGCCAGCAGCCGCGGUAAUACGUAGGGUGCGAGCGUUAAUCGGAAUUACUGGGCGUAAAGCGUGCGCAGGCGGUUGUGUAAGACAGGUGUGAAAUCCCCGGGC
rnacentral:rRNA from 1 species